GGAGUUUGAUCAUGGCUCAGAUUGAACGCUGGCGGCAUGCCUUACACAUGCAAGUCGAACGGCAGCACGGGAGCAAUCCUGGUGGCGAGUGGCGAACGGGUGAGUAAUGUAUCGGAACGUACCUUUCAGUGGGGGAUAACGUAGCGAAAGUUACGCUAAUACCGCAUAUUCUCUCCGGAGGAAAGCAGGGGACCGCAAGGCCUUGCGCUCUUUGAGCGGCCGAUAUCAGAUUAGCUAGUUGGUGGGGUAAAAGCUCACCAAGGCGACGAUCUGUAGCGGGUCUGAGAGGAUGAUCCGCCACACUGGAACUGAGACACGGUCCAGACUCCUACGGGAGGCAGCAGUGGGGAAUUUUGGACAAUGGGGGCAACCCUGAUCCAGCCAUGCCGCGUGAGUGAAGAAGGCCUUCGGGUUGUAAAGCUCUUUCAGCCGGGAAGAAAACGCAUCCUCUAAUACAGGGUGUGGAUGACGGUACCGGAAUAAGAAGCACCGGCUAACUACGUGCCAGCAGCCGCGGUAAUACGUAGGGUGCGAGCGUUAAUCGGAAUUGCUGGGCGUAAAGCGUGCGCAGGCGGUUUGUUAAGACAGGCGUGAAAUCCCCGGGCUCAACCUGGGAACUGCGCUUGUGACUGGCAAGCUAGAGUAUGGCCGAGGGGGGGUGGAAUUCCACGUGUAGCAGUGAAAUGCGUAGAGAUGUGGAGGAACACCGAUGGCGAAGGCAGCCCCCUGGGCCAAUACUGACGCUCAUGCACGAAAGCGUGGGGAGCAAACAGGAUUAGAUACCCUGGUAGUCCACGCCCUAAACGAUGUCAACUAGUUGUCGGGUCUUCAUUGACUUGGUAACGAGGCUAACGCGUGAAGUUGACC
rnacentral:rRNA from 1 species